AAAAAACUCUGAGACGUGAUACCGAGCCGCUUCAGGCGAAGUCAUUGAUCCUAUGCUGCCUAGAAAAGCCCAGCAGCGAGUUGACAUGGUGCCCGUACCCCAAACCAACACAGGUGGACAGGUAGAGCAUACCAAGGCGAGUGGGAUAACUAUGGUUAAGGAACUCGGCAAAUUGCCUCCGUAACUUCGGGAGAAGGAGGACCCCAGUAGCGUGAUGAGACUUGCUCUCUGAGCGUGAAGGGGUGGCACAAAAUUGAGGGAAGCGACUGUUUACCAAAAACACAGCAGCGUGCUAAGCCGUAAGGCGCUGUAUACGCUGUGACUCCUGCCCGGUGCUGGAAGGUUACGGGGAUGGGUUAGUCCUUCGGGACGAAGCUCUGAACCUAAGCCCCAGUAAACGGCGGCCGUAACUAUAACGGUCCUAAGGUAGCGAAAUUCCUUGUCGGGUAAGUUCCGACCUGCACGAAUGGAGUGACGACUUCCCUACUGUCUCAACCAUAGACCCAGCGAAAUUGAAGUACGAGUAAAGAUGCUCGUUAGCUGCAGAAGGACGGAAAGACCCCGUGGACCUUUACUAUAACUUGAUGUUGUGUUUUGUCAUAUGUUGUGUAGGAUAGGUGGGAGACUUGGAAGCAUGGACGCUAGUCUGUGUGGAGUCAUCGUUGAAAUACCACCCUGCAUAUGGUGAGGCUCUAACCUAGACCCGUUAUCCGGGUUGGGGACAGCGUCAGGCGGGUAGUUUAACUGGGGCGGUUGCCUCCUAAAGAGUAACGGAGGCGCCCAAAGGUUCCCUCAGCCUGGUUGGCAAUCAGGCGUUGAGUGCAAUGGCAAAAGGGAGCUUGACUGCGAGACCUACAAGUCGAGCAGGAGCGAAAGCUGGGCAUAGUGAUCCGGCGGUUGCGUGUGGAAGCGCCGUCGCUCAACGGAUAAAAGGUACCCCGGGGAUAACAGGCUAAUCUUGCCCAAGCGUCCAUAGCGACGGCAAGGUUUGGCACCUCGAUGUCGGCUCAUCGCAUCCUGGGGCUGAAGCAGGUCCCAAGGGUUGGGCUGUUCGCCCAUUAAAGCGGUACGCGAGCUGGGUUCAGAACGUCGUGAGACAGUUCGGUCCCUAUCCUCUGCAGCCGGAGGUGAAUUGAGGAAAGCUGUCCCUAGUACGAGAGGACCGGGACGGACGCAGCUCUCGUGUGCCAGUUGUCCUGCCAAGGGCAUGGCUGGUUAGCGACCUGCGGAAAGGAUAACCGCUGAAAGCAUCUAAGCGGGAAGCCUCUUCCAAGAUGAAUUCACCCACAGGGUUAACCUGGUAAGGCCCGUGGUAGACCACCACGUUGAUAGGCCGGAAGUGUAAGCGUGGCAACACGUUCAGCUGACCGGUACUAAUCGGCCGAGGGCUUG
rnacentral:rRNA from 1 species